rnacentral:rRNA from 1 species
UACGAAGGGGGCUAGCGUUGCUCGGAAUCACUGGGCGUAAAGGGUGCGUAGGCGGGUCUUUAAGUCAGGGGUGAAAUCCUGGAGCUCAACUCCAGAACUGCCUUUGAUACUGAGGAUCUUGAGUUCGGGAGAGGUGAGUGGAACUGCGAGUGUAGAGGUGAAAUGCGUAGAUAUCCGGAGGAACACCGGUGGCGAAGGCGGCUUCCUGGACCGAUACUGACGCUGAGGCGCGAAAGCUAGGGGAGCAAACGGG